CUCCCUUCCAGGCAUAGCCUGCUGAUGAGCUUGUGCAAUCCAAGCGAAAAGGAAA
rnacentral:hammerhead_ribozyme from 15 species